GGGGCUAAGUCGUAACAAGGUAGCCGUACCGGAAGGUGCGGCUGGAUCACCUCCUUUCUGGAGC
rnacentral:rRNA from 1 species